UACAGAGGUCCCAAGCGUUGUUCGGAUUCACUGGGCGUAAAGGGUGCGUAGGUGGCAGGGUAAGUUUGAUGUGAAAUCUCCGGGCUUAACCCGGAAACUGCAUUGAAUACUAUCCUGCUCGAGGUUUGGAGGGGGGACUGGAAUUCUCGGUGUAGCAGUGAAAUGCGUAGAUAUCGGAAGGAACACCUGUGGCGAAAGCGGCUCACUGGACCAUAACUGACGCUGAGGCACGAAAGCUAGGGGAGCAAACAGG
rnacentral:rRNA from 1 species